rnacentral:rRNA from 1 species
UGGGGAAUCUUCCGCAAUGGGCGAAAGCCUGACGGAGCAAUACCGCGUGAGGGAGGAAGGCUCUUGGGUUGUAAACCUCAAAACUUAGGGAAGAAAAAAAUGACGGUACCUAAUGUAAGCAUCGGCUAACUCCGUGCCAGCAGCCGCGGUAAUACGGAGGAUGCAAGCGUUAUCCGGAAUCAUUGGGCGUAAAGAGUCCGUAGGUGGCACUUCAAGUCUGCUUUCAAAGACCGAAGCUCAACUUCGGAAAGGGAGUGGAAACUGAAGAGCUAGAGUAUAGUAGAGGUAGAGGGAAUUCCUAGUGUAGCGGUGAAAUGCGUAGAGAUUAGGAAGAACACCAGUGGCGAAGGCGCUCUACUGGGCAUAUACUGACACUGAGGGACGAAAGCUAGGGGAGCGAAAGGGAUUAGAUACCCCUGUAGU